AUUAAGUGAAAGCGUAAAUCUCCGUUUCAGAUCAAGGAGACGUUCAAUUCUCAUGUUCUCCUAAGAGGCAAUUUAUGGAAGGUUGACCUGGGACUCUAGUUCCGAGUCUUUCGUUGGCCAUGUCUGAAGGGGCUGGAUGCCGAAGGAGAGCGAGGACUUUGCUUUCCACAGAAGGGUCUGUGCCAUCUGACUCCCACAGGACCCCUUUGAUAGCGGAUCCAUCAGCGGGCCUGGAGGCUGAGCUGCUGUCCUGAAGCAGAGGAGUUGGGAAAGGCACUGAGAAACAAAGAAAGGCAGGCAAACCCUGGCCUGUUCGGCCACUCCUCCCCGAGGCCAGCCCCACUCAUAAGCUGGAAGGAAGGGAGACCUGAGGUAACCCCAAGACCUUUCUGCACAAAGGAAAGCAACACGGGUCAAAUCCUAUCACAUCCCUCAGCCAUGAAUUAAGGCAGUGGGGUCUAAGGUGAAAGGAGGUCCAGUGAGCAUUUGAGAAACACAAACUUACUUAGAAAAAGGCAAUUUUAAUUUGGUAAGGAAAGCCAUGUCUAGAAUGCCUUUGGAGGAUCACCAGUGCAGGCACCAUAUGGCCCCUGGAGUCAUCCAGGAGUACUUGGUUUAUCUCCUGAUUUCCAAUUUAAAAUCUCAAGAAAAGCCACAAAAGGGCCUAGGCUGGCAACAACACUGAGGACAAAAAGGACCAAAGCCCACAUUUCAAGAGUAUUGGCAUAUAGUGUGUAAGCAGUAAGUGCUUGUUAAAUUAAUAAAUGGGAAUAAAUUGG